GGCCGAGUGGCGGAACUGGCAGACGCUCAGGACUUAAAAUCCUGUGUCCUCACGGACGUGCGGGUUCGAGUCCCGCCUCGGCUA
rnacentral:tRNA from 3 species